CCUUACCUUAUCAGUCAGAAAAAUAAUGUCUGUUAGAAAAUAUAGUCUGUUUCUCAACCGAUAGCACAACAAUCUCCAUGAUACGCUUAAAAUGGUGCUGCUACUGCAUUGCACUACGCAAGGCGUGCAUAAUCAUCGCCUGUUUAGACUUUGUUAUUAACUUAACCAUCGCCACCAUUGGCGCAAAAUAUCAAUUCAUCGAUAGGAUUGAGCAGGCGGUGGCUAUUUGUCACUGCAUUGGCUGUGUCUUCCUGAUAGGCGGGGCUCUGCUCCCUCCAGAAAUCAUCCGUUCUGCUGAUCUUCUUCCUCAUUACCAGCCUGACCAACUAUGUCAUCUUGAUCGCCUAUGUCAUCUACAUUUGCUUUGAUUGGUUACCGAAGGGGGAGUUUAUGGUGCCUAUCAUUAUAACUUAUACAUUUGUUGGAAUAUACUUUUGGCUCGUCGUCUUCUCCCAUUA
rnacentral:misc_RNA from 1 species